UCAAGGGCCAAAAAUCAGAUUCAUUUAUUAAACGUGAAAGCUAGUCAUUAGAAAAAUACUGAAUCUCAACUGGAGGUUCCUUGAAAUCUCAGCUUUUUUCAGAAAAUAAAAAACCACGUGGAGAAAAUAAACUUGCUACUGCUAUUAGACAGAUGAAAUAAAUUAAAAAUAAAAAAGUUCACCAGCCAUUUAUUUAUAUAUUAUAUAAUAUAAUUUUUAGCAAAACAAAUUAACCAUCUAAGUUUAGCAAUCCUUUUUAUUGUAAAGUUUUUCUGUCACAUAAUAAAUUGUAGAAUUGCUAGUGAUGAUUAUGAUGUAAGAAGCACUCAUGGUGAAAUGGCAACCCAUCAUUUUUUCUAUUAUUCUCCCUUUCUAGUUUCCCUUGGUAAAGUAAUCUGUGUAGGAACUCCCACACCAUCCUCACAUGCUGAAGAGGCUUCUAUGCAGAUCCAUGUAUAUUUUAAUAGCAGAGUGACUAGAAGAGAAACCAAAAGGGAAACUAUCCUACUUUUAGGAUUUUUUUUUUUUUUUUUUUUUUUUGCAGAGUCAAUGACUCAUGCAUCUUGUGUAGGAUCAGGAGUUAGAAAAUGAAUGCAACCUAAAUCUGUUUUCAAUGUGGCGGUUUCCUGAGUUUGAAUCAAUGACAAUCAAUAGGUGAGAACACUUGGCGAUUUCACCAAGCCAAACAUGAAUAAAGGCACAAAAGUGAAUUAGGAAACUCAAGGAAAAGCACCUCUACCGAUAUGGAAAAUGCUAUAGUGAAUCAUAACUUUUAGGAGGAAUAUAUUGGUAAAACAGAUUGGUAAGUAAUGGGUGCAUGAUCUAAUAUGUCACUAGUGUUAAAAUUCCAACUUCAGUUAAAUUGUAUAUUACUCUUGGUAAAUUUGAUUCAAGAUAGUUGGACAUAU